AUCAUUCUGGUUCAGCCAGUGAUGAAUGGGUUAAUAAUGUGGUUAUUGCAUCAGAUGUGUGGCCUUGCAAUCUUGUUAUGACAGGCACAGCACCCUUCUGAUC